AACCGUACCCUACUCCUGCCUGCGGCUCCCACUCUCGUGGCUCGCCCGUGCGGUGCCGGAGCACUCGGGGAUGCCGAGCUGCCCCCAUGGGCGGAGGAGGGGGCGGAGGAGGGGCAGGGCCAGCCAGCCCAGCCCAGCCCAGCCCGCCUGCCGAACACCUGGCAUCCGCACGGAGCCUCGGUCCUGCCCCGGUCCUGCUGCACCGGCGGCUCCCACCGGCACGGGCGGCCGCGGGGUCCAGCGCCCGUGUUUAGAAAGCGCUUCCCUGCUGCCAUCUGCAGAAAUCGAUCCCAUCGCUUUUUGUUAUUCUCCAAUCUAACGCGUCCUUGUCGCCCGAGCCGCCGGCAGCACGGCCGCGCGUUAAGCGCCGCUCGGGGCCCAGGGGCUCCGCUUUACCUGGAGGCUCUGGCGCUUCGCUCCGCCCGGGCACCGAGCGGCGGCGGGCCCGGAGAUGCGCCGAGGAGGGGGAGAAGUUGGGCUGCCCCGAGCCCUGCGGUUCCCAACCCCGGCCGCGGAGGGAGGGUGAGGGGGACACAGCCGCUGUGCUCCCCCCGACCGUCCUGGCAAGCGCCUGCUAAAACUGAAGCUCCAGAUAGGAGGAGGGAGGAGGAUCCGCGGCGCAGGGCGCAGCGGGGGAGGCGGCUCCCGCAGCCCCGCGGCACAUCGCCGGCUGGAGGCUGCGGGAUGCUGCUCCGGGGCUGCGCUCCGCCAGCGAGCCUUAGGUGUGGGGGUCAGAGCCCGCCGUGCCGGAGUGAUGGUGCAUUUUCCUCCGGCUCCGUCGCGGGGAUGGUGGGAUGGUGCCGCAGCCCGAGACCUUGGCCGCUGCCUGCCGAGGCUGGGCAAGAUCUUCCCUCCCUCUCUUCUCCCUCCUUUCCCCGCAGUGCUCGUUUCUUCCCCUCGUCACCUCUCCGGCCCUGUGCCCGCUCCAGACCCUGGAGUCAUGACGGGGUUUUAUUUUCCGAACGUCGCAGCCGCGCGUGAUUAAACACCGGCACCGGGGUGCGCGGCUGGCAACUUCAGCGGCGCCCGGGCGUGUGCGGUCCGUGUGCGCGGAGGGUGUCACGGAUGUCCCUGCCCGCGGGCGCGCUUGCCACCUGCGGCUCGGCGCCGGCCGGAGCCGUGCGCGCACAUGUCUGGGCGCGGAGGGGCGCGGAGNNN
rnacentral:lncRNA from 1 species